UCUGUAAUUUAGUUUGUUCAUUUCCCUGCUUCAGGUGGGAACCCUUUGGGGUUUCUUUUCUCACCUGCACUAAUUUCCUCUUAUGUAUUUCUCCUGUCUUCUCUCUAUUUGAACAAUGUUACCUUUUGUUCCGUUUGUAUUGUGCCAAUAAAUAAAUACCGGGGAAAGUGUCUUCGCUGCGAGGGUUCCCCUGGUGCCGACAGAUCUUUCGGGAGCCCGGUAAACUGCUCCGCAGCUGCUGUCAUGGUCCCGGCUGCUGCUAAUAAAGGCAACAGGACAUAAGCUGAUACCAAAGUGUGGAUCAUCUGGACAGGACACAAGCUGAUACCACAUCACGCUGAUACUAAAGUGGGGACUAUUUGGACAGGACACAAGCUGAUACCAAAAUGUGGACUCUCUGGACAGGACACAAGCUGAUCCCACAGUACGCCGAUACCAAAGUGUGGACUCUUUGGACAGGACACAAGCUGAUACUAAAAUGUGGACUCUCUGGACAGGACACAAGCUGAUACCACAGGACGCCGAUACCAAAGUGUGGACUCUUCGGACAGGACACAAGUUGAUACUAAAGUGUGGACUAUCUGGACAGGACACAGGCUGAUACUACACCACGCUGAUACUAAAGUGUGGACUAUCUGGACAGGACACAAGCUGAUAUUACACCACGCUGCUACUAAAGUGUGGACUAUCUGGACAGGAGACAAGUUGAUACCACACUAUGCUGAUACCAAAAUGUGGACCAUCUGGACAGGACACAAGCUGAUACCACACCACGCUGAUACUAAAGUGUGGACUAUCUGGACAGGACG